UACGUAGGGUGCGAGCGUUGUCCGGAAUUAUUGGGCGUAAAGAGCUUGUAGGCGGUCUGUCGCGCCUGCUGUGAAAAUCCGGGGCUCAACCCCGGACUUGCAGUGGGUACGGGCAGACUAGAGUGUGGUAGGGGAGACUGGAACUCCUGGUGUAGCGGUGAAAUGCGCAGAUAUCAGGAGGAACACCGAUGGCGAAGGCAGGUCUCUGGGCCACUACUGACGCUGAGAAGCGAAAGCAUGGGGAGCGAACAGG
rnacentral:rRNA from 1 species